rnacentral:misc_RNA from 1 species
AGAGAGAGAGAGAGAGAGAAACUUCAGCCUCACUGCUCCAUUGAGCCAAUAAUAAUGAGAUCAUGCUGUAAUUUUGUUGGACAAGGCAACAUCCAAAGCUAAUCAACACGGAAAUUGAUGAAUUGACAAGAGAGGUAAUGAGGUAUACAUAUCUGGCUAGCGGUUGGAAUGUUGAGUCAGUGGCCAUCAAUUGUGAAUUGUUAAUAAGAAAAUAACUCAUUCCUUGUGACAACCAAAUAGUAGGAGUUGAAAUGACAGUCCACCUAAUUUCUUAUCCUGUGUGUAUUCUCCAUAACCAUCGCACAAUCGUGUCUAACCAAUUUCAAAAUCUAUUAUAAAAGCUCUUCUUCUUUUUGCCACCCCAAUGGAAACACAAGUCCUCAGAAAACUUCAAAACCCAGUAAAUAAAAUUUUGUAUUUGCUUCUUGCUAUUUGAUCAUUAUUGUCCAUAUUUUCAAGCUUUAGCAUCAAGCAUCCCAAAAUUAAUGCAGUACUAGUUUAACCCAGUAAAUAAGAUAAAAAUGUACUUUGAAAGAGAAAUUUCUUUGUAAAUGCUUGAUAAUUAUUUGAUAUGAAAAAGGACUCAAACAUCAUAUACCAAUUGACAAUGUUUUUAAGGAAAAAUCGUAAACAGUAAAAUAACUCAC